rnacentral:rRNA from 1 species
GCAUAUCAAUAAGCGGAGGAAAAGAAACCAACAGGGAUUGCCUCAGUAACGGCGAGUGAAGCGGCAAAAGCUCAAAUUUGAAAUCUGGCCCUUGCAGGGUCCGAGUUGUAAUUUGCAGAGGAUGCUUCGGGAGCGGCGGCGGUCUAAGUCCCCUGGAACGGGGCGUCAUAGAGGGUGAGAAUCCCGUCUUGGACCGCAUGCCCGUGACCGUGUGAAGCUCCUUCGACGAGUCGAGUUGUUUGGGAAUGCAGCUCAAAAUGGGUGGUAAAUUUCAUCUAAAGCUAAAUACUGGCUGGAGACCGAUAGCGCACAAGUAGAGUGAUCGAAAGGUUAAAAGCACCUUGAAAAGGGAGUUAAAUAGCACGUGAAAUUGUUGAAAGGGAAGCGCUUGCAACCAGACUCGGCCGCAGAGGCUCAGUGGGCACGUGUGCCCAUGCACUCCUCUGUGGUCGGGCCAGCAUCAGUUCUGACGGCCGGUCAAAGGCCCCCGGAAUGUAUCCUCCUCCGGGAGGUCUUAUAGCCGGGGGUGCAAUGCGGUCAGUCGGGACUGAGGAACGCGCUUCGGCACGGAUGCUGGCGUAAUGGUUGUAAGCGACCCGUCUUGAAACACGGACC